UUUCCGUAGGUGAACCUACGGAAGGAUCAUUAUUGUAUAACCGAGGUGCGAGGGCUGUCGCUGACCCGAAAGGUCGUGCACGCCCGAGUGCCCUCACACACAUCCAUCUCACCCCUAUGUGCACCACCGCGUGGGUCCCCCUUUGGCUUGUUCGGAGGGGGGCUUACGUUUUCACACAAACUUUGUAUGCAGUGUAGAAUGUAUUUUUUGUUUUUGCGAUCACGCAAUCAAUACAACUUUCAACAACGGAUCUCUUGGCUCUCGCAUCGAUGAAGAACUCUGC
rnacentral:misc_RNA from 1 species